UUGUGUCUUCCUUCAUAAGGGAAGACCAGGAGAAAUGGAAAAGAGGUAUGAAAUGGAAAUCAGAGGCCACUGACUUCCUUGGCAUUUAAACACCUGCUCUGGGCCUUACAUGACCUUGUAUGUACCUGCUUCCCUCAAAGCAAGAAGUAGCAGCUUCAAGAAUGCCAUUACGCAGGCUCUCCUGGAGCAGAGGGGUAGGACUUGUGUGUGUUACACUUAGCCUCUUGUUUAUACUCCCUGUUUCCUUUCUCCCUCUACAACCUCACUGUCAAAAUGCUGUCCAGCAUAUUACAGUGAAAUACUGAAUUUCCAUGCAAACAAACAGUUGCUCUAUAUUUUUUCCGAUUGCUCUAUCUUUUGAAGAACACUGUCUAUCCAUUUAAUGGAGUCUGGGUAAAUUUAGGAAACAAAGGACUAGGGUUCAUUUCACAGUGACCAGACCCUUUUCCUAGAGACUACUCCCUUUCUUCUUGUUUCUCUAACCUCGCACCCUCCCCCUAGUCCAUGGCUAGAAUUGAGCAGAGGUUUUUUGGAUGCCCUUUCCUUUUCCACCUCUGGGCUAGAAAUUAGCUCAUCUUUCAGUAGAAUUGGGUCUGAGAAACCCUGAUGCUUCUGUUUUAAUCUGUAGGACCUGGGGUUCCACUUUGCUCCUUGAGUCGCAUUCCUGCAAGGUUCUUUCUCCUUUCCAAAGUUAGUUAUGGAUUCUGCCUCCACUGUGCUUCUAGGAUAUGGAGGAGGAUCAAAUUCAGUAAAUUUUCGAAUAUUUACUUUUAUACCUCAUAAGAUAAUAUGCCUUUCUUUUUUUUUUUGGUACCAGGGAUCGAAUUCGGGACCUUGCGGUUGCAGAACCACUGAACUAAAUCCCUGGCUGUGCCUUCUAAAAGAUAAAAAGCAGAAGAAUGCCUCCUCUCAGAUCAAAGUCAGCCAAAUCUCUCAAAAUCAGAGGCAGAAACAACUUAUAUCCUGUGACUCCUGAGGAUGAGUGCAGCGAGAACGGAGGGAAUUCAGCAGGCAGAGGAGGAGAGGGAGACCUCAAACACUUGGCGCAAGAUUCUUCUGGAAUCUAAACUGUCAAUCUUGUUGAGUGCAGGAAAUGCCACAUAUUUAAAUACCUAUACUGGAAUGAGACCAAACUUCAAAAAUCCCUAGGAAGAGCACCAUAUAGUGAAAGCUUUAUGCGAUGGUGAAGAGAAAAGCUGUGGAUUAUCAAGACAUCAGAGAUGGAGGGAAAAUGCCACCACGGGGUAAAAACCCCACCAGAACGGGAUGAAGGUCUGACUUCUCAGCUACCCUCUGCUUAGCACAAGCAGUAGAGGCAGAAGGGGCACACACUUGCACUUCCACCAGGAACCCCACUCAGACUUCUCAGCAGUUGGCCACCCCGGGCUACUUCUGCUCCUGGGAACCCCAAAGCUGCCCUGAUCUUUUGCAUUAGUCCUAUCCAAGAGAUUGAUUUUUCUCUUUGAUCUGAACCCAUCUUCUUUUAUCUUUGGGGGAGUUCGUCCUGAAUUCAGGGCCAGUCAGAGCAUUUCUUCUCCCAUUGACACACCAAUAUGUAUAAACAAUAUGCAUACAUUUUUCAAUCCUAUAUCCUGCACAUGCAGAACUUGGAAGGCAGAUUCAGGAAACAGGUUCAGUUCUCCUCUCCCAGUUGACUUUUAAGCACAUGCUAUCAAACCUUCCCCCGACCCUGGAACAGUGUCUUAGGCUCUUCAUUGACUCUGGGCCAGUCCAGUGACUUAUCUGAACCCAGCCUUCCAGGUAGAGGAAUGGCAUCUCUCACAAGUCUUUGGUUCCUGACGUCCAAAGAAGACCUUCGCAUCUUUGGCCAUGUUGAUCGAGCCUUUCUGCUGUCCAUUCCAGAAACAAACAUUAAAGUAGAGAAGUGUUGGGGAAGAAGCAAAAUGAAUGAUUGGCUUCCCAGUGGGUUCCAGUACUCUGUCUCUCCGUGUUGCCUCUGUGCAGUACCACUGAGAAAGCAAGGAUAACUUUUGUCUCUAGGACAAAGCCCUGUGCAGAUGUGUGCAGUAAAUAAAAUGUGCCUCAGUCUCCUUCUACCCAAGGCAUCCUGGAAUUAAGAUGCACCCCUCACAUGAACCCAUGAGGAUUGUACUGGGGAGUAUUACAUCACAGAAGAGCAUCACAUGACAACCCACAACCAGAUUUAAAUCCCAGCCCUGUCUCAACCCUUUUCAGAAAACUACUAGCAUCUACUAAUGUCAAUGUGAAUGCAUAUACAUUAAAACAACCACGUGUAUAUGUAAGUGUUCUUAAUGUGCUUAUUCAUAUUUCCCAAACCAGGAGCAAUCCAAAUAUAAACCAAAGACACAAUAUAUAAAUAUAUUGUUCCACAUUCAUAUUAUGGAAUAUUGUACAGCAAUUAUAGAGAAUGAAUUGUUUAUUGCUAUACCUAGCAACAUAGAGGAAUUCCACAGCUUUAAUAUCAGGUGAAAGUUGUCAGACACAAAGGAACACAUACUGUAUAAUGCCAUUUAGACAAAACUUUAAGACAGACCAAAAUAAUCCAUGGUGGUAGCCAUCAGAAGUUAUGUUUGGUGGGAGUAUUUCCGGGAAGGUGAGGGAACUUUCUGGGGUUCUGGGAAUGUUCUG
rnacentral:lncRNA from 1 species